AUGCAAGUCGUACGGAAAAGAAAUUUUUAGUGGCGAACGGGUGAGUAACGCGUGAGUAUUUACCUUUAGGAAGAGGAUAACAACUAGAAAUAGAUGCUAAAACUUUAUAUGCCGUUUCGGUGAAAAAAGCAAUUUGCCUAAAGAGAAGCUCGCGUCUGAUUAGCUAGUUGGUGGGGUAAAGGCCUACCAAGGCGACGAUCAGUAGCUGGUCUGAGAGGACGAUCAGCCACACUGGAACUGAGACACGGUCCAGACUCCUACGGGAGGCAGCAGUGAGGAAUUUUCUGCAAUGGGCGAAAGCCUGACAGAGCAAUACCGCGUGAGGGAUGAAGGCCUACGGGUUGUAAACCUCUUUUUUCAAGGAGGAAGAUCUGACGUUACUUGAAGAAUAAGCAUCGGCUAACCCUGUGCCAGCAGCCGCGGUAAUACAGGGGAUGCAAGUGUUAUCCGGAAUCAUUGGGCGUAAAGCGUCUGCAGGUUGAUCUCUAAGUCUUUUGUUAAAUCUUUGGGCUUAACCUGAAAUCUGCAAAGGAAACUAUAGAUCUUGAGUAUAGUAGAGGGAAAGGGAAUUUUCAGUGGAGCGGUGAAAUGCGUAGAUAUUGGAAAGAACACCAACAGCGAAGGCACUUUCCUGGGCUAUUACUGACACUCAGAGACGAAAGCUAGGGGAGCAAACAGGAUUAGAUACCCUGGUAGUCCUAGCUGUAAACGAUGGAUACUAGAUGUUGCGGCAGUUUUACUUCCGCAGUGUCGU
rnacentral:rRNA from 1 species